rnacentral:lncRNA from 1 species
CUCGCCUCUCUCUCUCUCUCCCUCACAGUACCCCCUUUCCCACCGCGCUGCAGCCGCCAUGACCAUCACCAUCGUCGCGGCCGACGACCUCCCCGGCGCCUGAGAAUACAUCCAGGGGCUCCACCGUCGUCGUAUUCUUCACCCUCGACAAAGGGGUCGAGCUAGGAGGCCCCGUUCGCCCGCCAUCUCCAUCGUCUUCCUCGCGUACACCGUCGUCCGUCGCCAGAUGCCGAUGCUCCCGGCCAUCCCCGACCUCCUCAAGCUCGCCCACGGCCUCAAAGUGAGCUCCUCUUCCGAUUCCCAACCUUUCCCCUUUGAUUUGUCGCCGUUUGUCGUCGUCCCUGAGCUCGGUCGUCCUCGUCCAUGGCCGCCUUCGAGCUUCCGAGCAUGCGCACGCGCCUGCCUGCUCCUGUCGAUGGCCGCGCCCUGGUUGCAUCGUGCGCGCACCCACGCUUCUGCUCCCCUGCGCCUGCACGCGUGUCCGCGCUCCCACGGCCCUGCCUGCAGUUUUUCUUGCUACUGCGUGGCUCCGCUGCUCCCUGUCGCCACUGCUGUUGCGCUAGUGCUGCUGCUUGCUGCUUCCUGGCGCAACGGGUCUGCUCCUCGCUCCUACUGAUGUUCAUGCUAGCCGCUGCCUUAUUGAUGCGUUUUUGCUGCUGCUACUGAUGGCAAUGGCCGUCGUGGCUUGGUGUGCCCAUGCCUACCAUAGCCGUGGCACAUCCACUGGAUGUGAGGCCGGCCCUUGCUUAGUCAGAUUAGUUUAGCUUAGGAUUAAAUUGUUAAUUACUUAGUGCAUAGAAAAUGACAUGUGGGACCACAUCGAUUAAUUAACAUUUUGUUAAAGUAAAGUCAAUGACAAUUUGAACCCGCAUACACUGUUCAUAUAUUGACCAGUUAAUCUUUGACUGGGUCAAACCAUGCCCACUAACCCCACUGGCAUACACUCUAGCUAGAAUAGCACUAGGUAAAAACGUAUAUUCUAUUUUUAAUUCGAAUUAAUAAUAAAUCCAAAAAACAUUAAAACUUUGAAAAUCAUAUAAAAUAAUCCGUAACUUGGAUGAAAUAUUUUAUACAUGAAAGUUGCUCGAAACGACGAGACGAAUCCGAAUACGGGGCCCGUUUGUCAGCCAUCCGUUCCUAGCAUAGCGAACAUGCAACUUUCCCACUCCGAUUCAUCUGUCUGAAAACACGAAACACCGGGGAUAUUUUCCCCCUUCACCGGUAUCACCUAGUACUGUGUGAGGUCACCUCUAGCACCACGCAUUGCCACAUUACGUUUUGUGUUACUUUGAUUGCUCUGUUAUUUAUUGUAUUCCCCCUCCGUUACUUCUUUCCGGUAGACCCCGAGACUGCCGGCGACCCCCAGUUCGACUACGGUGUUGACGACCCCUCUCUCUUGCCAAAGCAACCAGGCAAGCCCCCCCCCUUGAUCAGCAGAUAUCGCCUACUCUAC